GCCCCUAUAACUCAAUGGAUAAGAGUAACAUUCUUCUAAAGUGUAAGUUCCAGGUUCGAGUCCUGGUGGGGGCG
rnacentral:tRNA from 1 species